UACAGAGGUCCCGAGCGUUGUUCGGAUUCAUUGGGCGUAAAGGGUGCGUAGGCGGCGGGGCAAGUCUGAUGUGAAAUCCCGGGGCUCAACCCCGGAACUGCAUUGGAUACUGCCUUGCUCGAGUACUGGAGAGGGAACUGGAAUUUACGGUGUAGCAGUGAAAUGCGUAGAGAUCGUAAGGAAGACCAGUGGCGAAGGCGGGUCUCUGGACAGUUCCUGACACUGAGGCACGAAGGCCAGGGGAGCAAACGGG
rnacentral:rRNA from 1 species